UGAAAUUCGACUUCAUGAAGCUGGAAUUGCUAGUAAUGGCAGGUCAGCAUAUUGCCGUGAAUACGUUCCCGGGCCUUGUACACACCGCCCGUCACACCAUGAGAGUUGGGAAUACCCGAAGCCUGUGAGCUAACUUUUUAAGAGGCAGCAGUCGAAGGUAGAAUCAAUGAUUGGGGUGAAGUCGUAACAAGGUAGC
rnacentral:rRNA from 1 species